GACGAACGCUGGCGGCGUGCUUAACACAUGCAAGUCGAACGGAAAGGCCCUGCUUUUGUGGGGUGCUCGAGUGGCGAACGGGUGAGUAACACGUGAGUAACCUGCCCUUGACCUUGGGAUAACUUCAGGAAACUGGGGCUAAUACCGGAUAGGAGCUCCUGCUGCAUGGUGGGGGUUGGAAAGUUUCGGCGGUUGGGGAUGGACUCGCGGCUUAUCAGCUUGUUGGUGGGGUAGUGGCUUACCAAGGCUUUGACGGGUAGCCGGCCUGAGAGGGUGACCGGCCACAUUGGGACUGGAAUACGACCCAGACUCGUACCGGAGGCAGCAGUGCAGAAUAGUACACUAUGGGCGGAAGCCUGAUGCAGCAACGCCGCGUGCGGGAUGACGGCCUUCGGGUUGUAAACCGCUUUCGCCUGUGACGAAGCGUGAGUGACGGUAAUGGGUAAAGAAGCACCGGCUAACUACGUG
rnacentral:rRNA from 1 species